GACGAACGCUGGCGGCGUGCUUAACACAUGCAAGUCACGGGGGCGUGGCGAACCAGCAACCGGCGAACGGGUGCGUAACACGUGAACAACCUGCCCUCCGUGUGGGGGAGUAGCCGGGCGUAACGCCCGGGUAACUACCGCAUACGGUCAUCGGGAGGAGUCUCCUGGUGAAGAAAGACUCCGGCGCACGGGAGGGGUUCGCGGCCUAUCAGCUAGUUGGUGCGGUAACGGCGCACCAAGGCGACGACGGGUAGCUGGUCUGAGAGGAUGGCCAGCCACAUU
rnacentral:rRNA from 1 species